AUGAAAGAAGUGGUGGCAAAUAUUUCCAUACCUGGCAGGAGGGGUGAUUCAGCAUAGUCUGGAGUAAGGAAAACUGCUAUUCAAGAUGGAAACAUCACAUCUGGAAACUGUGACAGCUCUGUGGAUACCGAAUGCCAGAACAAUCACAAAUUCCUGGAGCAACAAAGGGAGAGAAGGGAAACAAGAAUAAUCACAACACUCAUCUGAAGUAGAGAAGGCACCCCAGCAGCACGCAACAUAGAGCAUGGACUCUACACCAACUACCUUAUCCUCUAGAGGUAGCCCAGGAGAAAAAAAGCCAAGGAUCUAAUUCUCUCAUGAAAAUAUUCCAACUAGCCUCAGAUCAGCUCAACACCAAAUCUGGAAUUUACUGUGUAAGAUUAAGCACUGUGGAGAAUGUUCUGCUCUGGGAGCUUGAUCACUGCCUUUAAUUUUCUGUAUGAACAAGGCUUCCUUUAGUAUCCUAUUGUCCUAUGUAAUUGUAUAUCCUUUGUAUUUCAAAUAAAACCUUUUAAAAAGCA